GCAGUCGUGGCCGAGUGGUUGAGGCGAUGGACUAGAAAUCCUUUGGAGUCUCCCCGCACAGGUUCGAAUGUUUUCGACUGUG
rnacentral:tRNA from 1 species